AUGGCGGAUGUAAGUGAUGAGUGUAUGCUCGAGUACUAUCAUAUUGCCAAUAGGAUAUUUCAUAGUGAGGGUGAAGGUUAUAGAUUCUAUAACAAAUAUGCUCUUCAGAAAGGUUUAAGUGUGCGAAGAAGCUAUAUUGAGUGGGAUGGAUCCAAUAAUCAUAUAAUUUAAGGAAAAUUGCCCGUAGUCAUGAAGGGGUUCGUGAAGAGAAGCACAUGCAGAGGAAGAUGGAAGAUAGAAAGAGGAAGCCAUGGAAUAUAA
rnacentral:rRNA from 1 species